rnacentral:rRNA from 1 species
UACGGAGGGUGCAAGCGUUGUUCGGAAUCAUUGGGCGUAAAGCGCGCGCAGGCGGUCAGUCAAGUCUGAUGUGAAAUCCCGGGGCUCAACCCCGGGCGUGCAUUGGAAACUGUCUGACUGGAGUUUGGGAGAGGCUAGUGGAAUUCCAGGUGUAGGGGUGAAAUCCGUAGAGAUCUGGAGGAACACCGGUGGCGAAGGCGACUGGCUGGACCAAUACUGACGCUGAGGCGCGAAAGCGUGGGGAGCAAACAGG